CAGCCGCCGCGGUAAUUCCGGCGGCCCGAGUGGCGGUCACUAUUAUUGGGCUUAAAACGUCCGUAGCCGGGUUGGGAAGUCCUCCGGGAAAUCUGGCCGCUUAACGGUCAGAAUGCCGGAGGAUACUCCCAGCCUAGGGACCGGGAGAGGCCGAGGGGAUUCCCGGAGUAGGGGGGAAAUCCUAUAAUCCCGGGAGGACCACCUGUGGCGAAGGCGCUCGGCUGGAACGCGUCCGACGGUGAGGGACGAAGGCCAGGGGAGCAAACCGGAUUAGAUACCCGGGUAGUCCUGGCUGUAAACGAUGCGGACUUUGUGUCGGACAAGCUAUGAGCUUGUCCGGUGCCGGAGGGAAACCGUUAAGUCCGCCGCCUGGGGAGUACGGCCGCAAGGCUGAAACUUAAAGGAAUUGGCGGG
rnacentral:rRNA from 1 species